rnacentral:rRNA from 1 species
UGAUUCUUAAGUGCCUGUACCGCAAUCCGACACAGGUAGAUGGGUAGAAUAUACCAAGGCGAACGGGAGAACCUUCGUUAAGGAACUAGGCAAUUUAGCCUCGUAACUUCGGGAUAAGAGGUGUCUUCUGGCGUAAGUGAAUAAUGAGCGCUGGAAGAUCGCAGUGAAAUGGUUCUAGGGACUGGUUAACAAAACCACAGGUCUCUGCAAAGCCGUAAGGCGAUGUAUAGGGGCUGACACCUGCCCAGUGCCGGAAGGUUAAAGGGAGAGGUUAGUUCCCCUUCGGGGGAACGAAGCUUUGAACUGAAGCCCCGGUGAACGGCGGCCGUAACUAUAACGGUCCUAAGGUAGCGAAAUUCCUUGUCGGGUAAGUUCCGACCCGCACGAAAGGUGUAACAACUAGAACAGUGUCUCGACGAAGGACCCGGCGAAAUUGAAAUGGCUGUGAAGAUGCGGCCUACCCGCAGUAGGACAAAAAGACCCCGUGGAGCUUUACUGCAACUUGGCAUUGAGUUUGGAUUUCAUUUGUGUAGGAUAGGUGGGAGGCUAUGAAACUAGGGCGCCAGCCUUGGUGGAGCCGCCGGUGAAAUACCACCCUGAUGAACUCUAGACCCUAACCUUUAUCCGUAAUCCGGAUAAGGGACCGUGCCAGGUGGGCAGUUUGACUGGGGCGGUCGCCUCCUAAAGAGUAACGGAGGCGCCCAAAGGUUCCCUCAGGCUGAAUGGAAACCAGCCAGAGAGUGUAAAGGCAUAAGGGAGCUUAACUGCAAGGCCAACGCGCCGAGCAGAGACGAAAGUCGGGCUUAGUGAUCCCACGGUUCCGUGUGGAAGGGCCGUGGCUCAUCGGAUAAAAGCUACCCCGGGGAUAACAGGCUAGUCAGGUCCAAGAGUCCAUAUCGACGACCUGGCUCGGCACCUCGAUGUCGGCUCAUCGCAUCCUGGGGCUGGAUAAGGUCCCAAGGGUCGGGCUGUUCGCCCGUUAAAGCGGUACGCGAGCUGGGUUCAGACCGUCGUGAGACAGGUCGGUCUCUAUCCACUGUGGGCGUAAGAGAUUUGAGAGGAGCUGCUCCUAGUACGAGAGGACCGGAGUGGACAGACCUCUGGUGUGCCAGCUGUCGUGCCAACGGCAUUGCUGGGUAGCUACGUCUGGCAGAGAUAACCGCUGAAAGCAUCUAAGCGGGAAACUUGCCUCAAGAUUAGAUCUCUAUAAUCCCGUAAAGGGAGUAAGAUCGCAGGUAGACUACCUGCUUGAUAGGCAGUAUGUGUAAGCGCAGUAAUGCGUUGAGCUAAACUGUACUAAUGAUCGAGAGCUUCCAA